GUCCUUUUGAUAAUAAUAUAAGGUCUAACCUGCCCACUGAAAUUUUAAAGGGCCGCAGUAUUUUAACUGUGCAAAGGUAGCAUAAUAAUUAGUUUCUUAAUUAGAAGCUGGUAUGAAUGGUUGAACGAGAAAUUUACUGUCUCAAUUUAUAUAUUAAAAUUUUAUUUUUAAGUUAAAAAGCUUAAAUUUAUUUAAAAGACGAGAAGACCCUAUAGAGUUUUAUAAAUUUAAGUAUAUUUUAUUAUAGAAUUUUUUUUUAUUUAAAUUUAUUUUGUUGGGGUGAUAUAUAAAUUUAAUAAACUUUAUAUUUUUAGUAACAUAAAUUAAUGUUAAAUUGAUCCAUAAAAAUGAUUAAAAGAAAAAAUUACCUUAGGGAUAACAGCGUAAUUUUUUUUUAGAGUUCAAAUCGAAAAAAAAGAUUGCGACCUCGAUGUUGGAUUAAAAUUAAUUUUUGGUGUAGAAGCUAAAAUAUUAGGUCUGUUCGACCUUUAAAAUUUUACAUGAUCUGAGUUUAAACCGGCGUGAGCCAGGUUGGUUUCUAUCUUUAAAAAAAUUAAAUAUUUUAGUACGAAAGGACCAAAUAUUUUUAAAAUUUAAUAUUUUUUGAAUA
rnacentral:rRNA from 2 species